rnacentral:rRNA from 1 species
UACGGGGGGGGCAAGCGUUGUUCGGAAUUACUGGGCGUAAAGGGCUCGUAGGUGGCCAACUAAGUCAGACGUGAAAUCCCUCGGCUUAACCGGGGAACUGCGUCUGAUACUGGAUGGCUUGAGUUCGGGAGAGGGAUGCGGAAUUCCAGGUGUAGCGGUGAAAUGCGUAGAUAUCGUAAGGAAGACCAGUGGCGAAGGCGAAUCUCUGGACAGUUACUGACACUGAGGCUCGAAGGCCAGGGGAGCAAACGGG